CACCUGGUAGCACACGGUGUGCAUCUGCCACGAAUAAUUGCAAAUUAUGCUUUGUAAGCAGAAGGUCCCCGUUCGACUCGGGGCUGGGUGA